rnacentral:rRNA from 1 species
GACGAACGCUGGCGGCGUGCCUAAUACAUGCAAGUAGAACGCUGAAGGAAGGAGCUUGCUCUUUCUGGAUGAGUUGCGAACGGGUGAGUAACGCGUAGGUAACCUGCCUGGUAGCGGGGGAUAACUAUUGGAAACGAUAGCUAAUACCGCAUAAAAUUGAUUAUUGCAUGAUAGUCAAUUAAAAGGUGCAACUGCACCACUACCAGAUGGACCUGCGUUGUAUUAGCUAGUUGGUGGGGUAACGGCUCACCAAGGCGACGAUACAUAGCCGACCUGAGAGGGUGAUCGGCCACACUGGGACUGAGACACGGCCCAGACUCCUACGGGAGGCAGCAGUAGGGAAUCUUCGGCAAUGGACGGAAGUCUGACCGAGCAACGCCGCGUGAGUGAAGAAGGUUGUCGGAUCGUAAAGCUCGGUUGUAAGAGAAGAACGAGUGUGAGAGUGGAAAGUUCACACUGUGACGGUAUCUGACCAGAAAGGGACGGCUAACUACGUG